UGGGGAAUCUUGCACAAUGGGGGAAACCCUGAUGCAGCGACGCCGCGUGAGCGAUGAAGCCCUUCGGGGUGUAAAGCUCUUUCGGCAGGGACGAUGAUGACGGUACCUGAAGAAGAAGCUGCGGCUAACUACGUGCCAGCAGCCGCGGUAAUACGUAGGCAGCGAGCGUUGUUCGGAGUUACUGGGCGUAAAGCGUGCGUAGGCGGUGUCCUAAGUCUGGUGUGAAAUCUCCCGGCUCAACUGGGAGGGUGCGCUAGAAACUGGGGUGCUGGAGUGUGGGAGAGGUAAGCGGAAUUCCUGGUGUAGCGGUGAAAUGCGUAGAUAUCAGGAGGAACACCUGCGGUGUAGACGGCUUACUGGACCAUGACUGACGCUGAGGCACGAAAGCGUGGGGAGCAAACAGG
rnacentral:rRNA from 1 species